AUUGAACGCUGGCGGCAGGCCUAACACAUGCAAGUCGAGCGGGGUUUUCGGACCUAGCGGCGGACGGGUGAGUAAUGCGUAGGAAGCUGCCCGAUAGAGGGGGAUACCAGUUGGGAACGACUGUUAAUACCGCAUAAUGUCUACGGACCAAAGUGUGGGACCUUCGGGCCACAUGCUAUCGGAUGCGCCUACGUGGGAUU
rnacentral:rRNA from 1 species